rnacentral:rRNA from 1 species
AACGCGAAGAACCUUACCUGGGCUCGAAAUGCUGUGGACCAGCUGAUGAAAGUCGGCCUUCCCGCAAGGGACCGCAGUAUAGGUGCUGCAUGGCUGUCGUCAGCUCGUGUCGUGAGAUGUUGGGUUAAGUCCCGCAACGAGCGCAACCCUUGUCCUGUGUUGCCAUACCGAAAGGUGGAACUCGCAGGAGACCGCCAGGGAUAACCUGGAGGAAGGUGGGGAUGACGUCAAGUCCUCAUGGCCUUUAUGUCCAGGGCUACACACGUGCUACAAUGGACGGUACAAAGGGCUGCCAACCCGCGAGGGGGAGCCAAUCCCAAAAAACCGUUCUCAGUUCGGAUUGCAGGCUGCAACUCGCCUGCAUGAAGCUGGAAUCGCUAGUAAUGGCGGAUCAGAACGCCGCCGUGAAUACGUUCCCGGGCCUUGUA